GAUGAACGCUGGCGGCGUGCCUAAUACAUGCAAGUCGAGCGAACAGACGAGGAGCUUGCUCCUCUGACGUUAGCGGCGGACGGGUGAGUAACACGUGUAUAACCUACCUAUAAGACUGGGAUAACUUCGGGAAACCGGAUCUAACACCGGAUAAUAUAUUGAACCGCAUGGUUCAAUAGUGAAAGACGGUUUUGCUGUCACUUAUAGAUGGAUCCGCGCCGCAUUAGCUAGUUGGUAAGGUAACGGCUUACCAAGGCAACGAUGCGUAGCCGACCUGAGAGGGUGAUCGGCCACACUGGAACUGAGACACGGUCCAGACUCCUACGGGAGGCAGCAGUAGGGAAUCUUCCGCAAUGGGCGAAAGCCUGACGGAGCAACGCCGCGUGAGUGAUGAAGGUCUUCGGAUCGUAAAACUCUGUUAUUAGGGAAGAACAAAUGUGUAAGUAACUAUGCACGUCUUGACGGUACCUAAUCAGAAAGCCACGGCUAACUACGUG
rnacentral:rRNA from 1 species